AGUAGGAAGUAGUAACUGUUCAAAGGUGUAGAAACCAAGACUUAGCAGAGUUAAGUGACAUUUCAACUUAUACAGCUAGUGGGCAGGGCAGGAUUAAAAUCAGGUUUGUGAAGUUCCAACAUUUGUACUAUUUUCCUGAUGUCAUAUUCUUGAUGGAGAAAGCAAACUGAUCAAGUGACAAUAAAAUAGAAACAUUGAAAGACAGUGGAGAGAAUAG
rnacentral:lncRNA from 10 species